rnacentral:tRNA from 1 species
GCCGGGUUGGCUGAGUGGUUAGGCGGCUGCUUGCAGGGCAGCAGUACGGAGGUUCGAAUCCUCCGCCCGGCU